CCUGCUCUAAUGGGCAAAGAGACACCUUCUUGGUGGUGUUAUUCUUAUGUCAGGGGCAGAGUAGAUGGCAGUCCUUUGUUUGUCCUAGGUUGAUGUCUGGGUUGGUGACCAAUGCUGUCUUAUGCCUAGCACUCAAAA